CCUAGCGGCGGACGGGUGAGUAAUGCUUAGGAAUCUGCCUAUUAGUGGGGGACAACAUCUCGAAAGGGAUGCUAAUACCGCAUACGUCCUACGGGAGAAAGCAGGGGACCUUCGGGCCUUGCGCUAAUAGAUGAGCCUAAGUCGGAUUAGCUAGUUGGUGGGGUAAAGGCCUACCAAGGCGACGAUCUGUAGCGGGUCUGAGAGGAUGAUCCGCCACACUGGGACUGAGACACGGCCCAGACUCCUACGGGAGGCAGCAGUGGGGAAUAUUGGACAAUGGGGGGAACCCUGAUCCAGCCAUGCCGCGUGUGUGAAGAAGGCCUUUUGGUUGUAAAGCACUUUAAGCGAGGAGGAGGCUACCGAGAUUAAUACUCUUGGAUAGUGGACGUUACUCGCAGAAUAAGCACCGGCUAACUCUGUGCCAGCAGCCGCGGUAAUACAGAGGGUGCAAGCGUUAAUCGGAUUUACUGGGCGUAAAGCGCGCGUAGGUGGCCAAUUAAGUCAAAUGUGAAAUCCCCGAGCUUAACUUGGGAAUUGCAUUCAAUACUGGUUGGCUAGAGUAUGGGAGAGGAUGGUAGAAUUCCAGGUGUACCGGUGAAAUGCGUAUAGAUCUGGAGGAAUACCGAUGGCAAAGGCAGCCAUCUGGCCUAAUACUGACACUGAGGUGCGAAAGCAUGGGGAGCACACGGGAUUAUAUACCCUGGUACUCCAUGCCGUACACGAUGUCUACUAUCCGUUGGGGCCUUUGAGGCUUUAGUGGCGCACCUAACGCGAUAAGUACACCGCCUGGGGAGUACGGUCGCAAGACUAAUACUCAGAUGAAUUGACGGGGGCCCGCACAAGCGGUGGAGCAUGUGGUUUAAUUCGAUGCAACGCGAA
rnacentral:rRNA from 1 species